CAAAUUGACCCUAGGGGAUUCAUUGUUUACAUUAAUGAUUUUUUUGUGCAAUUCAAUACAAUUUGA
rnacentral:tRNA from 1 species